GACGAACGCUGGCGGCGUGCUUAACACAUGCAAGUCGAACGAAGUGGCGAACGGGUGAGUAACGCGUAAUCAACCUGCCCUUCAGAGGGGGACAACAGUUGGAAACGACUGCUAAUACCACAUACUGCGGUAGGGGAUUGCGUCUGAUUUGCUAGUUGGCGGGGUAACGGCACACCAAGGCGAGGAUCAGGAGCCGGUCUGGGGGGAUGAACGGCCACAUUGGGAAUGAGAAACGGCCCAGAAUCCUACGGGAGGCAGCAGUGGGGAAUCUUUCGCAAGUGAAGAAAGUCUGACGGAGCAACGCCGCGUGAGUGAUGCAGGCCUUCGGGUUGGAAAGCUCUGUUAAUCGGGACGCGGUACCGGAAUAGAAAGCCACGGCUAACUACGUGCCAGCAGCCGCGGUAAUAC
rnacentral:rRNA from 1 species